rnacentral:rRNA from 1 species
GACGAACGCUGGCGGCGUGCUUAUCACAUGCAAGUCGAACGGAAAGGCCCUGCUUUUGUGGGGUGCUCGAGUGGCGAACGGGUGAGUAACACGUGAGUAACCUGCCCUUGACUUUGGGAUAACUUCAGGAAACUGGGGCUAAUACCGGAUAGGAGCUCCUGCUGCAUGGUGGGGGUUGGAAAGUUUCGGCGGUUGGGGAUGGACUCGCGGCUUAUCAGCUUGUUGGUGGGGUAGUGGCUUACCAAGGCUUUGACGGGUAGCCGGCCUGAGAGGGUGACCGGCCACAUUGGGACUGAGAUACGGCCCAGACUCCUACGGGAGGCAGGAGUGGGGAAUAUUGCACAAUGGGCGGAAGCCUGAUGCAGCAACGCCGCGUGCGGGAUGACGGCCUUCGGGUUGUAAACCGCUUUCGCCUGUGACGAAGCGUGAGUGACGGUAAUGGGUAAAGAAGCACCGGCUAACUACGUG